rnacentral:rRNA from 1 species
CUCGUAGGCGGUUUGUUAAGUCGUAUGUGAAAGCCCUGGGCUCAACCUGGGAACUGCAUUCGAUACUGGCAAACUAGAGUAUAGAAGAGGCAAGUGGAAUUCCAGGUGUAGCGGUGAAAUGCGUAGAUAUCUGGAGGAACAUCAGUGGCGAAGGCGACUUGCUGGUCUAAUACUGACGCUGAGGAGCGAAAGCGUGGGGAGCAAACAGGAUUAGAUACCCUGGUAGUCC